UACGUAGGGGGCAAGCGUUGUCCGGAAUUAUUGGGCGUAAAGCGCGCGCAGGCGGCUCCUUAAGUCUGAUGUGAAAGCCCGCGGCUCAACCGCGGAGGGUCAUUGGAAACUGGGGAGCUUGAGUGCAGGAGAGGAGAGUGGAAUUCCACGUGUAGCGGUGAAAUGCGUAGAGAUGUGGAGGAACACCAGUGGCGAAGGCGGCUCUUUGGUCUGUAACUGACGCUGAGGCGCGAAAGCGUGGGUAGCGAACAGG
rnacentral:rRNA from 1 species